UACGUAGGGACCAAGCGUUGUUCGGAUUUACUGGGCGUAAAGGGCGCGUAGGCGGCAAUUCAAGUCAGUUGUGAAAUCUCCGAGCUUAACUCGGAACGGUCAACUGAUACUGUUUUGCUAGAGUGCGGAAGGGGCAAUCGGAAUUCUCGGUGUAGCGGUGAAAUGCGUAGAUAUCGAGAGGAACACCAGAGGUGAAGACGGGUUGCUGGGCCGACACUGACGCUGACAGCGCGAAAGCCAGGGGAGCAAACGGG
rnacentral:rRNA from 1 species